UGUUGGCCUUGGUCACAUCGACUGCAAUGCUCUAGGCCAUGGUCUAGUAUCCUGUCUGACUCCCAAGUGUUGGAUUACCUCAGCUGAUGCCAAUUGGUGCCAACGCUGGUCUAGACUUAGCCUGAGUAUGCACUGUCCUUUGAUGACUACGCCUUGGGCCACUUGGCCUCCUUCCCCAGCCCAGCUUCUGCUGCCAGAGUAGCACCCCAAGUCACUCCCUAUACCCAGAGGAGCCCCAGAUCUUGUCUCACCUCCCUCCCAACCAACCCCUCCACCCCAGGCUGUAGUUUCCCUUCCUCAUGCCCAGAACUGCUCCUACUAUUUCACAUGCCCUCCAUGGAUGUCUAAUUUUCAAAGAAUGAAAAACACACAACUUAAAUAUGUUGAGUCUGAUCAUCUUCUUGAUCAUUUCAAAGGCACUUCGGGACCUUAGUGAGCCCUAGACUCUGCUUCCUGAGUACCAGGGCUUCUGGACGAUGGAAUAUCCAGGAGUAGAGUUAGGAGAACGGUCUGAAUGGUGCUGAUGCCAAGAUACUCCUGAAAAUUAGGUGACUUCUAGCAAAUUACCUAAAUUCUCUAAGCCUCAGUUUUCUUAUCUAAAAAGAGGACAAUUAUACUUAAUUCAUAAGGUUUCUGUGAGGGCUAAAGAUCAUGUAAAUAAAAGGACUUGAUUAAUUAAAAAAUUUCUAAUAUCAGCUUGACAUUUCCAUUUCCAUAAAAGCAGAGAUUUGGGCUUAUUUAGCUGUUCACAUCCUGAAUAGGUUAAAAAAGAUUACCUAAUUGUCAAUCCACUAUAACGUUCUGUUCACUGCUUGGCUCCGGCAAUAGACUCUUAGCUUCUUGAAGCCACAUAUCAUGUGUGGUUUUCUAUGAAUCUGCGCCAGCACCAGCAUAGUACCUGCUACAUGAAUGUUGAAUACACGACUUCUAUCAGCUACAUCACUCCCAUAGCUAAGCCUAGGGAUGGUGUCUCUGACAUACACUCUUGGGUAUCUCUGAAGGAGGAAUUGUGCAAACCUGGCAGGAUCUACAAUGUGUGGGGAGAACUGUGUCCCUCUCCUAUUUCCUACUUCCAGUCCCAUUAAGACACGGUAAGGAUGUCUGGCAAAUGUGGGCGAGGUCAAUAAAACCCAAGGAGCUUCCUGAUGCCUCCUGUUGCUACUCUCCACACUUACACUAUAGGCUGAGCCAACUGGGCCUAGGCCAAGCAGAAGGGUCAGCUGAGUGGCACAGGGACCCCUUUUUCCCACCAGUCCAAACUGCUAUCACUUGACUCUCUCUCAUUAAGGCACUGUGUUUCCAGGAGGCCCAGUUAAGCGAAAUACUGCUUUCUAUUGGAUGAUAAUGAGGUAUUCAUUCAUUCCUUCAUUUGUUCAUUUAUUCCACAAACAUUAAUUGAACACCUACUAUGUCCCAGUGACUGUGCUAGAUAUUGAAGAGGCAAAGUCCAGGCCCCCAAAGAAUUCUGGGACUCCUGAGGGAAACAAACAAGGAAGUAGACGAUGAUGAUGCAGCGUGACAAGAGCUAGAACUGAAGAAAGCAGAGGGCUGGGAGAAUGCACAGAGUCCCCGGGCAGGACUGUGCUGAAUGCGGAGUGGAGGGUGAAACUCGAGACAGCGUUGGGCAGGGUGGCACUUACCUCCUUGAAGGAGGAGUAGGCAUGAGGCAGGCAAAUCAAGGAAGUGUGGAGAGCAAGGGGAGAGUAUUCAUUAGGACAUGGGGACAAGACAACAGCAUGUGCAAGAAAGGAGGGUUCAGGAAGUGGCAAAUGGGGAUCUGGUGAGGAUGAACCCAGAGGAUGAGAUCAGGAUGUGAGUUCCAGACUCCUGGGGACGGAGACUCAGGGUACUGGAACCCAGGUGGAGGUGACGUGAAGCCUUCAUCUAUCUCCAACUUUACACAAGGAAGCUGAGAUCUGGAGACAGGAAAUCACCAAGGUCACACAGCAAGUGAUCUGCAUAGCUGGACCUGGAGGUGGUCCUCUGGACCCAUGGGAGUGAGAAGAAAUCAGCUUCUCAAAAUGGUAGAGAAACUCCAGGCCCCACUCUGUUGGAAUCUACAUUCUCCACAGUUGAUCAAAGAUAGUAAAGACAGCCACUGGGUCCUGCUGGUUCCGAGAGGCCCUUAAUAAAAGAACUAGAGCUCUCCUGUUACCCUCACAAAGCUUACCAGGAGGUCCUUUGCAGGCUUUAAAAGCUUGAAGCCCAGACAUAGUCUCUCUUGAAUGGUGGUCUUGAGUUUUUGAAUGGAAUAUCCACACCCUGCAUCUUUUUUCCUUUGAGAUUCAUCCUUUUCUAAUAUUGCUUUUACAACCCAAACAGACAUCUCUGCUGACGUUCAUGAGCCCUCAAAAGGUAGAAGUCUAGGUGGCAUUUACUCUUUGCAGAAUUUUUCCUCCUCCUUUUUCUUUCCUUUUUAAGAAGUUAUACCCAUCUUUCCAAUUAUAAUGAAUCAGGUACAAGACAAAGUAAAUCAUUCCGGACUUGAUUUUUUUUUAAUUCAUAAAUGUUGUGGUUGAAUAAAAAGUAACUUUAAAUGAAAAUACAUGUCACAGAACAGACGGUGCAUUUCAGGUACUGCUUCUCUUUCCUCACAUGAACAAAGAAUAUAUAAAAAUAGCAAAUAGAUAUAUUUUUUCUUGUUCAGAAUUAGGGUUUCAGAAGGCUUAAUUUCCUUUGUUCAAUAUAUUUUAAGGAUAACACAUAUUCACUAAUUCAUUUAUUCAUCCCUAUAGGAUCAGCUUCAUAAUUUGUGAGGCCCACUGCAAAAUGAAAAUGUAGGGCCCCUUGUCAAAAAUUAUUAAAAAUUUUCAAGAUGGUGCAAGCAAAGCAUUAAACCCACUUUUCUGAUCGUAAGGCCUUGUGCAACUGCACAGGUUGCAUGCCCAUGAAGCCCACCCUGCAACCACCAAAUUCUGGGCCAGGCCCUGGAAUACAAUGGUGAACCUGAAAGGUGUGGUCUGUGCCCUCCCUCUGGAGAAAGGAGUGAAGGGAAUAAUCACAUGAAGUCUGAUGAGGACCAAGAUAAGCGAUGUCCCAGGUCAUCUCGGAGCUCCCUCAUCUCAGGUCAAUGAAGAACUCCCUAGGGAAAUGACAUGUGAGCUGAGGAUGGGUGAACAACAGGGCUUCAGCCUGGCCAAGAGUAGAAGGGAAAGGACUUUAGGCCAAAGGAAGAGUAUAUACGACAAACUGGAGGAAAGGACUGGAGAACGUGGCAUGCUUGAGGAACAACGAGUAUCGCAUGGCUGUAGCAAAGAAAACACGGGGUGUGGCUGAGGAGAAGAUGGAGACAUUGAUGAGGACCAGCCCUAACGGGUGGUUGGAUUUUAUCCCAACAGCAGUCAGAAGCUCCUAAUGGGUUCCUCUUAGCUGCACAAUGGGUCAGGAAAGGAAAGAAAUCAAUGGUGUUGUCAGUGGAAGAAAAGCAGGCUGUCCUUCCUGGUUCCUGACGAAGAGCAAGGGAAAACAGGAAGUUAGCCUGCAGAGUUGCAUUGGCAGGAAGUCCUGGUCUGACAAGUCAUUCCGCCUUUGCUCUGGGCCACGGUCUUACUACCUUGAAACCGAUGCUUCUCCAUAGCCUGAUCAGCAGAUCGGAAGAGUAAGAGAGGCAGAUCCUUCCUCUUCUACCACCAGAGCUCCGUCAGUGGAAAAUGUGUUCCAGGCCUCCGGGUUUGUCCCUUAGCAACAGUGCCCAUGUACUUGGAAUCCUUUCUACCCCUCCUCAUUGGUCCCUGGGAUCCCCAGUGAUCGCCAGACUCUGCUGAACUCCCCCAUUACCUGGUCACUUGCCUCUGUCUCCCCAUUCCUGCAGCCUCCCGGGAACCAGCAUAACAGCCCCCUUGAACACCUGCCCUCCACUGGAAGACUAAGAGAAUCAUUUCUUUAAGCUGGAGGAGAUCUUGGAGAUCAUCUGACGGAAGAACCGGGAGAGCCACAGUGACUUCCAUGACAUCAGAGAGCUAUUAUAGCUGCAAAGCCAGCAUAAGAACCUUACUCUCCCAUCUCUUGAUGCCACCUCCAUGGCUUCUCUGUGUCUAGCCCAGGGGCAGCAGGUACAAUUGGCUUCCCAAAGAAGGUUUUCAAAAAUUUCACGUAUUAGCAUUUGAACUCCAGGCCACUCUAAAAGGUAAUGUUUAAACCCACCUGGUGCCUUUAUUUCCCAGGUGGAAAUAAUUUGAAUGCUUCCUUGUCUUGACUCAUCUUUAUCCAUGCAUGUACAUGAUUUUUACCUCGUGUAAUCGGUACACACGCUUCUCAAGCUGCUUGAGUUUCAUUUGAAUGAUCACGUGUAAACAUUUUUCCAGUUUUCUGGGGCAGUGCUGCGAUAAUGAAAACGUUCAAUACCUGCAUUUUGACGGUAGCCACUAGCCACAUGUGGCUCUUGAGCACUUGAACAACUGAGGAACUGAAUUUAUCUUGUUUAGUUUUAAGUAAUUCAAAUGCAAAUUUAAAUAGCCACUUGUGGCUAGUGACUCCAGUAUUGGCUAGCAUAAUUCUAAAGAGUCAUCAUACACGUUUCCUACAAUGGAUGCAUAUUAUUGUAUCUAUAUCUUGGUUUAUUUUACCGUUUCUCUGUCCUCGAACCUUCAAAAGGCUUUUUGUUUCUGCUAUUGCAGCAAAUAUAGCAUUAUGUACAGUUACAUAUACAUCGCUAUAAAAAUUGUUGCUCAUGCGGCA